AAUAAUAUUAACUAGAAAAUUCCCACGGACAUUUUGAUGGGCCUGCUACCUGUGCCCCGGACCUCUGGCGGAAGCCGCCAUACCUAUUAGAUGGUGCCGAGUGUCUGAAUCCAUGAAGAAUUAAUCAUAAUUCUCACAAAGGGUUACCAAAAAUGUGGGUGUCAUGAACCCGCCUGGCUGCGGUAAUUGUGACCCCAAGAUGCAGGAACCAGGAGAACGAUGGGCAGCACCGAGGAACAGGCGAGGCAGGCUAAAAUAUUGGCAACUGCAACCAGGUGUGCCUGGCUGCCAAUCAGACACAGGUCGGAAAAACACGAAAAGACAGAUGUUUGCGGAACUUUUCAUCUAAAUGGUGGCCCAGUGAGAGCAGACAUUGUACAUGACAGCUCAAAGUGUGUGAGGAUAAGGACCCCUCCCCCACCUGGGCGCACUAAAACGUCAGUCUCAACGCCAAAAUGGUCUCCACGUGUCGGCGAGAGCGCCGUGCAUGAUGAAAGCCAAACGUUUGGAAGCCAUCGCCACGCUUUGAUCGCUGGAGGGGGAGGAGUGUCGUGAUUGGACGACAGCAAUGGAUGGAUGGAAGAAGAAAUGAACACUUUUUAAUGUGAGUUAAGUCUGGAUUUCACUUUGCUUUGUAUUAAUGACCUCCGCCAUCUUUGUUUACAAUUAAUCUUCAACAGGAAGUCUACUGGGGUCAACAUGGCGACCUGAUUUGGUCAAUUUUUUUUUUUUUUUUUUUAAAUCUGUCCUAUCUGUCCUAUCCAGCCAUUAUAGUAAAUGUUUGGGUAGAAGUUUAUCAAACAAAAGCAGUUUUCUUUUAAGUAAUAUACACAUUUAUCAGAGCUGUUUAUCUAUGUUAUGGGGGAAUGUAGUUAAUCAUAUCAAUAUAUGAAUAUCCUUUAUUUAACCAGGGAAAAACUAUCCAUCCAUUUUAUACCGCUUGUCCCUCUCGGGGUCACGGGUGUGGCUGGAGCCUAUCCCAGUAAUUGAGAUUAAAAUGUAUUUUCCAAGAGUGACGUGGGCAAGAGGGCAGCAAGACAAAGUUACAGAAAUACAUAUAGGAACGACAAAUACCGCAGCAGUCACACAACACAAUUAAAAAGUAAAUUACUUACAUAUAUUAACAUAAAACAUGUGAUAGGUGAACAACAAAAAGUAUAAAAUGUUUCAGUAAAAAUAACUUAAAAACAAGUACAAUGCCGAAUAGAAGCAGCUUCUUAAUCCUUUAAAAUGGCCUGAAAUUCCCCCAAAGUGAUCGGCUCAGGUAACCACAGAUCCUUCUGUAAGUUAUUCCAUGACCAUGGAGAAGCAUAUUUGAAAGCUGUUUUUCCAAAUGAUUAGUGUUAGCUCUCUGAACAAACAUAGAACACACAUAGGACAUAAAAACAGUGCUAUGUCAAAACAUUGCAUAAAAUGUUACAGUAAAAACAACUUAAAAACAAGUACAAAGCCCAAUAGAAGCAGUUUCUUGAUCCUUUAAAUUGGCCUGAAAUUCCCCCAAAGUGAUCAACUCAGGUAACUUCAGAUCCUUCUAUAAGUUAUUCCAUGACCAUGGAGCAACAUAUCUGAAAGCUGUUUUUCCAAGAUUAUUGUCGGCUCCUGGAACAAACAUAGAACAAACAUAGAACAUAAAAACAAUGUAUAACAUGUUACAGUAAAAACAACAAAAAAACAAGUACAAUGCCCAACAGAAGCAGUUUCUCGAUCUUUUAAAAUGGCCAGAAAUUCCCCCAAAGUGAUCGGCUCAGGUAACCUAAGAUCCUUCUUUAAGUUAUUCCAUGACCAUGGAGAAGCAUAUCUGAAAGCUGUUUUUCCAAGAUUAGUGUUGGCUCUCGGAACAAACAUAGCACAUAAAAACAUGUGAUUGGUCAAAACAAUGUAUAAAAUGUUACAGUAAAAACAACUUCAAAACAUGUACAAUGCCCAAACAAAACAGUUUUUUAGAUUCUUUAAAAUGGCCUGAAAUUCCCCCAAAGUGAUCGGCUCCGGUAACCUCAGAUCCUCCUGUAAGUUAUUCCAUGACCAUGGAGCAACAUAUCUGAAAGCUGUUUUUCCAAGAUUACUGUUGGCUCUCGGAACAAACAGAGAACAAACAAACAUAGUACAAACAUAUAACAUAAAGCAUGUGCUAGGUCAAAACAAUGUAUAAAAUGUUACAGGAAAAACAACUUAAAAACAAGUACAAUGCCCAACAGAAGCAGUUUCUCGAUCUUUUAAAAUGGCCUGAAAUUCCCCCAAAGUGAUCGGCUCAGUUAACCUCAGUUCCUUCUGUAAGUUAUUCCAUGAUCACGGAGAAGCAUAUCUGAAAGCGGUUUUUCCAAGAUUAGUUUUGGCUUUAGGAAAAAACAUAGAACAUAGAACAUAAAAACAUGUGCUGGGUCAAAACAUUGAAUAAAAUGUUACAGUAAAAACAAGUGCAAAGCCCAAACGAAACAGUUUCUUGAUCCUUUUAAAUGGCCUGAAAUUCCCCCAAAGUGAUCGGCACAGGUAACCUUAGAUAUUUCUGAAAGUUAUUCCAUGACCAUGGAGCAAUAUAUCUGAAAGAUUUUUUCCCUAGAUUAGUGUUGGCUCUAGAAACAAACAUAGAAAAUAAAAACAUGUGCUAGGUCAAAAAAUUGUAUAAAAUGUUUUAGUAAAAACAACUUAAAAACAAGUACAAUGCCCAAACCAAACAGUUUCUUGAUCCUUAAAAAUGGCCUGAAAUUCCCCCAAAGUGAUCAGCUCAGGUAACAUCGGAUCCUUCUGUAAGCUGUUUUUCCAACAUUAUUGUUGGCUCUCGGAACAAACAUAGUACAUAAAAACAUGUGCAAGGUCAAAACAAUGUAUAAAACGUUACAGUAAAAACAACUUAAAAACAAGUACAAUGCAGUAACCUCAGAUCCUCCUGUAAGUUAUUCCAUGACCAUGGAGCAACAUAUCUGAAAGCUGUUUUUACAAGAUUAUUGUUGGCUCUCGGAACAAACAUAGAACAAACAAACAUAGUCCAAACAUAUAACAUAAAAACAUGUGCUAGAUCAGUGGUUCUUAACCUGGGUUCGAUCGAACCCUAGGGGUUCGGUGAGUCGGGCUCAGGGGUUCGGCGGAGGUCAAAACACACCCGUCUCAUCGUGUAAAUAAAAACUUCUCCCUAUCGGCGUAUUACGGAUACGGCAACAGCAGAAGUCACACUGAUUUGCAGGUGUGUCAUUUGUUGUGAGUUUAUGCAGUGUUGGUUUUGUUCUUUGAACAAGGUGAUGUUCAUGCACAGUUCAUUUUGUGCACCAGUAAAAAAAACAUGGUAACACUUUAGUAUGGGGAACAUAUUCACCAUUAAUUAGUUGCUUAUUAACAUGCAAAUUAGUAACAUAUUGGCUCUUAACUAGUCAUUAUUAAGUACUUAUUAAUGCCUUAUUCGGCAUGGCCUUAUUAUAACCCUAACCCUCUAACCCUGGCCCUAACCCUCUAACCCUAACCCUAACCAAAUAACUCUAAAUUAAGUCUUUGUUACUUGGAAUAUGUGUCAUGAUCCAUGUCCCGGAUCAUGUUUUAUGUUCUGUUAGUUUUGGACUUCAUAGUUCCUGUUUUUUGUGCACCCUUGUUUGUUUUAGUUACCAUGGUUAUUUAUUAUUUCCACCUGCCUCUGAUUAGUGUUCGCCCGCUCACCUGCUGCCCGAGCACUAAUCAGAGGCAUUAUUUAAACCUGCCUUGCCCUCCAGUCAGGGCUGAAGUAUUGUUUGUCGUAUGCUGUGGACUCCCUGUUUCAUGCAAUGCUCUGUUCAUGCUUUUCUUCUGGAGAUACCAUAGUUCAUGCUGAUGAUUUCAUGCUUAGUUCAUGCUGCUCAUGCCUUGCCAAGUAAGUUUUGUUUAUUCAUGCCACAGUUAGCAACUUUUUGUUUCAUGUCCAUAGUUCAGGCUAAGUGUUGGC